UGGGGAAUAUUGCGCAAUGGGGGGAACCCUGACGCAGCCAUGCCGCGUAAAUGAAGAAGGCCUUAGGGUUGUAAAGUUCUUUCGGUAUUGAGGAAGGUUGAUGUGUUAAUAGCACAUCAAAUUGACGUUAAAUACAGAAGAAGCACCGGCUAACUCCGUGCCAGCAGCCGCGGUAAUACGGAGGGUGCGAGCGUUAAUCGGAAUAACUGGGCGUAAAGGGCACGCAGGCGGUUAUUUAAGUGAGGUGUGAAAGCCCCGGGCUUAACCUGGGAAUUGCAUUUCAGACUGGGUAACUAGAGUACUUUAGGGAGGGGUAGAAUUCCACGUGUAGCGGUGAAAUGCGUAGAGAUGUGGAGGAAUACCGAAGGCGAAGGCAGCCCCUUGGGAAUGUACUGACGCUCAUGUGCGAAAGCGUGGGGAGCAAACAGGAUUAGAUACCCUGGUAGUCCACGCUGUAAACGCUGUCGAUUUGGGGGUUGGGGUUUAACUCUGGCGCCCGUAGCUAACGUGAUAAAUCGACCGCCUGGGGAGUACGGCCGCAAGGUUA
rnacentral:rRNA from 1 species